ACCGGAGCUUGCUCCACCGGAAAAAGAGGAGUGGCGAACGGGUGAGUAACACGUGGGUAACCUGCCCAUCAGAAGGGGAUAACACUUGGAAACAGGUGCUAAUACCGUAUAACAAUCAAAACCGCAUGGUUUUGAUUUGAAAGGCGCUUUCGGGUGUCGCUGAUGGAUGGACCCGCGGUGCAUUAGCUAGUUGGUGAGGUAACGGCUCACCAAGGCCACGAUGCAUAGCCGACCUGAGAGGGUGAUCGGCCACAUUGGGACUGAGACACGGCCCAAACUCCUACGGGAGGCAGCAGUAGGGAAUCUUCGGCAAUGGACGAAAGUCUGACCGAGCAACGCCGCGUGAGUGAAGAAGGUUUUCGGAUCGUAAAACUCUGUUGUUAGAGAAGAACAAGGAUGAGAGUAACUGUUCAUCCCUUGACGGUAUCUAACCAGAAAGCCACGGCUAACUACGUGCCAGCAGCCGCGGUAAUACGUAGGUGGCAAGCGUUGUCCGGAUUUAUUGGGCGUAAAGCGAGCGCAGGCGGUUUCUUAAGUCUGAUGUGAAAGCCCCCGGCUCAACCGGGGAGGGUCAUUGGAAACUGGGAGACUUGAGUGCAGAAGAGGAGAGUGGAACUCCUUGUGUACAAG
rnacentral:rRNA from 1 species